UACAGAGGUCUCGAGCGUUGUUCGGAUUCAUUGGGCGUAAAGGGUGCGUAGGCGGCGCGGUAAGUCGGGUGUGAAAUCUCGGAGCUUAACUCCGAAACUGCAUUCGAUACUGCCGUGCUUGAGGACUGGAGAGGAGACUGGAAUUUACGGUGUAGCGGUGAAAUGCGUAGAUAUCGUAUGGAAGACCAGUGGCGAAGGCGGGUCUCUGGACAGUUCCUGACGCUGAGGCACGAAGGCCAGGGGAGCAAACGGG
rnacentral:rRNA from 1 species